GGGAGACAGGUGGUGCAUGGUUGUCGUCAGCUCGUGUCGUGAGAUGUUGGGUUAAGUCCCGCAACGAGCGCAACCCCUAUCUUCAGUAGCCAGCAUUUUGGAUGGGCACUCUGGAGAGACUGCCAGGGACAACCUGGAGGAAGGUGGGGAUGACGUCAAAUCAUCAUGCCCCUUAUGGCCAGGGCUACACACGUGCUACAAUGGCGUAAACAAAGGGAAGCAGCCGUGUGAAUGUGAGCAAAUCCCAAAAAUAACGUCUCAGUUCGGAUUGUAGUCUGCAACUCGACUACAUGAAGCUGGAAUCGCUAGUAAUCGCGAAUCAGAAUGUCGCGGUGAAUACGUUCCCGGGUCUUGUACACACCGCCCGUCACACCAUGGGAGUCAGUAACGCCCGAAGCCGGUGACCUAACCGAAAGGGAGGAGCCGUCGAAGGUGGGACCGAUAACUGGGGUGAAGUCGUAACAAGGUAGCCGUAUCGGAAGGUGCGGCUGGAUCACCUCC
rnacentral:rRNA from 1 species